ACUCCUACGGGAGGCAGCAGUGGGGAAUAUUGCACAAUGGAGGAAACUCUGAUGCAGCAACGCCGCGUGGAGGAUGACACUUUCGGAGCGUAAACUCCUUUAUAUAGGAAGAUAAUGACGGUACUAUAUGAAUAAGCACCGGCUAACUCCGUGCCAGCAGCCGCGGUAAUACGGAGGUGCAAGCGUUACUCGGAAUCACUGGGCGUAAAGAGCGUGUAGGCGGGUUAUUAAGUCAGAAGUGAAAUCCUAUGGCUCAACCAUAGAACUGCUUUGAAACUGGUAACCUAGAGUAUGGGAGAGGUAGAUGGAAUUUCUGGUGUAGGGUAAAUCCGUAGAGAUCAGAAGGAAUACCGAUUGCGAAGGCGAUCUACUGGAACAUUACUGACGCUGAGACGCGAAAGCGUGGGGAGCAAACAGGAUUAGAUACCC
rnacentral:rRNA from 1 species